GAAGCAGGCCAGACCGCCGCUGGUGCGAUCGUGGAAACACGGCACUGGAGGAAGGUCCGGACUGCACAGAGCAGCGCAGCAGCUAACGGCUGCCCACCGCGAGGUGAGGAUCAGAGCAACAGAGACGAGUCAGUGCGGGGUCCCGGUGCAGGGUGCUCUGUGAGCUGCCGGCGCAGGCCGGCAGGGCCGCAAGGCCCCCGGGCGCAAGCCCGGAGCGAGCAGCCACCCAGUCCGGGGCAAGACCCCGGACUGGGUGAAACGGGCAAUCUCUGCGCGCAGCAACACCAAGUAGGCCGGCGUUGACGUGGCUCGCGGAGCCGGCGGGUAGGUGGCACCGAGCCGAAGGGCGACCUUCGGCCCAGAUGAAUGGCGGUCACGGCGGUCUGCGCGCAAGUGCAUGCCGCUGCACAGAAUCCGGCCUAUCGGUCUGCUUCACAC
rnacentral:RNase_P_RNA from 1 species